rnacentral:rRNA from 1 species
UACGAAGGGUGCAAGCGUUACUCGGAAUUACUGGGCGUAAAGCGUGCGUAGGUGGUGAGUUAAGUCUGUCGUGAAAGCCCCGGGCUUAACCUGGGAACUGCAGUCGAUACUGGUGAACUAGAGUGCGGUAGAGGGUGGCGGAACUCCGGGUGUAGCGGUGAAAUGCGUAGAUAUCCGGAAGAACACCGAUGGCGAAGGCAACCACCUGGGCCUGCACUGACGCUGAGGUACGAAAGCGUGGGGAGCAAACAGG